rnacentral:rRNA from 1 species
GACGAACGCUGGCGGCAUGCUUAACACAUGCAAGUCGAACGGAAAGGCCCUGCUUUUGUGGGGUGCUCGAGUGGCGAACGGGUGAGUAACACGUGAGUAACCUGCCCUUGACUUUGGGAUAACUUCAGGAAACUGGGGCUAAUACCGGAUAGGAGCUCCUGCUGCAUGGUGGGGGUUGGAAAGUUUCGGCGGUUGGGGAUGGACUCGCGGCUUAUCAGCUUGUUGGUGGGGUAGUGGCUUAACAAGGCUUUGACGGGUAGCCGGCCUGAGAGGGUGACCGGCCACAUUGGGACUGAGAUACGGCCCAGACUCCUACGGGAGGCAGCAGUGGGGAAUAUUGCACAAUGGGCGGAAGCCUGAUGCAGCAACGCCGCGUGCGGGAUGACGGCCUUCGGGUUGUAAACCGCUUUCGCCUGUGACGAAGCGUGAGUGACGGUAAUGGGUAAAGAAGCACCGGCUAACUACGUG